rnacentral:rRNA from 1 species
AGAGCUUGCUCUCGGGUGACGAGCGGCGGACGGGUGAGUAAUGUCUGGGAAACUGCCUGAUGGAGGGGGAUAACUACUGGAAACGGUAGCUAAUACCGCAUAACGUCGCAAGACCAAAGUGGGGGACCUUCGGGCCUCAUGCCAUCAGAUGUGCCCAGAUGGGAUUAGCUAGUAGGUGGGGUAAUGGCUCACCUAGGCGACGAUCCCUAGCUGGUCUGAGAGGAUGACCAGCCACACUGGAACUGAGACACGGUCCAGACUCCUACGGGAGGCAGCAGUGGGGAAUAUUGCACAAUGGGCGCAAGCCUGAUGCAGCCAUGCCGCGUGUAUGAAGAAGGCCUUCGGGUUGUAAAGUACUUUCAGCGAGGAGGAAGGCAUUAAGGUUAAUAACCUUGGUGAUUGACGUUACUCGCAGAAGAAGCACCGGCUAACUCCGUGCCAGCAGCCGCGGUAAUACGGAGGGUGCAAGCGUUAAUCGGAAUUACUGGGCGUAAAGCGCACGCAGGCGGUCUGUCAAGUCGGAUGUGAAAUCCCCGGGCUCAACCUGGGAACUGCAUUCGAAACUGGCAGGCUAGAGUCUUGUAGAGGGGGGUAGAAUUCCAGGUGUAGCGGUGAAAUGCGUAGAGAUCUGGAGGAAUACCGGUGGCGAAGGCGGCCCCCUGGACAAAGACUGACGCUCAGGUGCGAAAGCGUGGGGAGCAAACAGGAUUAGAUACCCUGGUAGUCCACGCCGUAAACGAUGUCGACUUGGAGGUUGUGCCCUUGAGGCGUGGCUUCCGGAGCUAACGCGUUAAGUCGACCGCCUGGGGAGUACGGCCGCAAGGUUAAAACUCAAAUGAAUUGACGGGGGCCCGCACAAGCGGUGGAGCAUGUGGUUUAAUUCGAUGCAACGCGAAGAACCUUACCUACUCUUGACAUCCAGAGAACUUAGCAGAGAUGCUUUGGUGCCUUCGGGAACUCUGAGACAGGUGCUGCAUGGCUGUCGUCAGCUCGUGUUGUGAAAUGUUGGGUUAAGUCCCGCAACGAGCGCAACCCUUAUCCUUUGUUGCCAGCGAUCCGGCCGGGAACUCAAAGGAGACUGCCAGUGAUAAACUGGAGGAAGGUGGGGAUGACGUCAAGUCAUCAUGGCCCUUACGAGUAGGGCUACACACGUGCUACAAUGGCAUAUACAAAGAGAAGCGACCUCGCGAGAGCAAGCGGACCUCAUAAAGUAUGUCGUAGUCCGGAUUGGAGUCUGCAACUCGACUCCAUGAAGUCGGAAUCGCUAGUAAUCGUAGAUCAGAAUGCUACGGUGAAUACGUUCCCGGGCCUUGUACACACCGCCCGUCACACCAUGGGAGUGGGUUGCAAAAGAAGUAGGUAGCUUAACCUUCGGGAGGGCGCUUACCACUUUGUGAUUCAUGACUGGGGUGAAGUCGUAACAAGGUAACCGUAGGGGAACCUGCGGUUGGAUCACCU